CCUACGGGAGGCAGCAGUGAGGAAUAUUGGUCAAUGGGCGGAAGCCUGAACCAGCCAAGUCGCGUGAGGGAAGACGGUCCUAUGGAUUGUAAACCUCUUUAGGCGGGGAGCAAUGCCGGGCACGCGUGCCCGGAGGGAGAGUACCGUCAGAAUACGCAUCGGCUAACUUCGUGCCAGCAGCCGCGGUAAUACGGAGGAUGGGAGCGUUGUCCGGAUUUAUUGGGUUUAAAGGAUGCGUAGGCGGAUUUUUAAGUCAGCGGUAAAAUGUCCGGGCUUAACCCGGGCCGGCCGUUGAAACUGGGGAUCUUGAGUGGGCGAGAAGGAUGCGGAAUGCGUGGUGUAGCGGUGAAAUGCAUAGAUAUAACGCAGAACUCCGAUUGCGAAGGCAGCAUACCGGCGCCCGACUGACGCUGAGGCACGAAAGCGUGGGGAGCGAACAGGAUUAGAUACCCUGGUAGUC
rnacentral:rRNA from 1 species